rnacentral:SRP_RNA from 1 species
UCAUACUAGCCGGGGAGUUAGCGGUGCCCUGUAUCUACAACCCGCUUUAGUGGAGGUGAUGCCAAACCUGAGGAGAGUUUCAGUAUCAAAGCCUUAAAUUAACAAAUGUUGAGAAAACAGUCCUAUAUUGUAGAGAAGCGGUGAACCGUGUCAGGUCGGGAACGAAGCAGCACUAAGCCGAUUUCUUUAGGUUUAUGGGGUCGCUGUUUUUGAGUUUUUAAUUUAAGAAACCGAUGGUGAAAUUUUUUCAAGGGUUCGGCGUAUGA